rnacentral:rRNA from 1 species
GAUGAACGCUGGCGGCGUGCCUAAUACAUGCAAGUCGAGCGAACGGACGAGAAGCUUGCUUCUCUGAUGUUAGCGGCGGACGGGUGAGUAACACGUGGAUAACCUACCUAUAAGACUGGGAUAACUUCGGGAAACCGGAGCUAAUACCGGAUAAUAUUUUGAACCGCAUGGUUCAAAAGUGAAAGACGGUCUUGCUGUCACUUAUAGAUGGAUCCGCGCUGCAUUAGCUAGUUGGUAAGGUAACGGCUUACCAGGGCAACGAUGCAUAGCCGACCUGAGAGGGUGAUCGGCCACACUGGAACUGAGACACGGUCCAGACUCCUACGGGAGGCAGCAGUAGGGAAUCUUCCGCAAAGGGCGAAAGCCUGACGGAGCAACGCCGCGUGAGUGAUGAAGGUCUUCGGAUCGUAAAACCCUGUUAUUAGGGAAGAACAUAUGUGUAAGUAACUGUGCACAUCUUGACGGUACCUAAUCAGAAAGCCACGGCUAACUACGUG